AUUACUUAUAAUAUGUAAUACAACUGCGAAAAGAGGUGUUAUGUUGUAUUUUUUGUUAUGUUGUAUUAAGAAUUAAAUUUUAAAAAUCUGUAUAUAUUUGAUGUAAUUUUAAAAAAUAUUUUUAAUCUGCAGUUGGUUGACUCUCUGGAAACAGAACCCAUGGAUACAGAGGACUGACUGUAUCUGAGGUAUAUUUUCUCAAGAGUGAUACUGAGAGUAAAAGCCCAGUUACACACGAUCUAUGGCCACUUUGCAUCAGCUGGGAUCUCCUGUCCUGAGGAAGUGACCUCAUGGCAACUGGCCAUGGGCCUGAAAUUCUCCAAGAUCUGUGCCUGUUUACUUGGAGCCCUUCCACAGAAGGAAUGAACUCCCAAGGACCAACUGCUGCCGGGCUUCUGGACUUGAGACAGGUUUGCCCCUGCCUCCCCAAGCAGUCUGUGCAAUCCGAAGGCUGAAAAGGAAUCUCACCAGAGACUCCCAGGUACCAGGGGCCCUGGAAAACUAAGAGGGAGGCAGUUAGAGCCUGGAGGAGACCAACAGAGUCUCUGAGCUGCUUGUUACGGACUCAGUGUGGAGCAGGGUGGGCCAGAACCACUGUGU
rnacentral:lncRNA from 1 species